rnacentral:rRNA from 1 species
UGGCUUAGGAUGAACGCUAGCGGCAGGCCUAACACAUGCAAGUUCGAGGGAGGAGCUUUUCGGGCUUUCGACCGGCGUACGGGUGCGUAACGCGUAUACAAUCUGCCUUUUCACAUAGGGAUAGCCCGAAGAGAAUUUUGGAUUAAUACCUAAUGGUAUAUAGGAGUGGCAUCAUUUUUAUAUUAAAGCUGAGGCGGUGAAAGAUUGAGUAUGCGUUCUAUUAGCUAGUUUGGAGAGGUAACGGCUCCCCAAGGCGACGAUAGAUAGGGGUUUCUGAGAGGGAUAUCCCCCACACUGGUACUGAGAUACGGACCAGACUCCUACGGGAGGCAGCAGUGAGGAAUAUAGGACAAUGGUCGGAAGACUGAUCCAGCCAUGCCGCGUGCAGGAAGACGGCCUUAUGGGUUGUAAACUGCUUUUGCAGGGGAAGAAUAAGGACUACGAGUAGUUUGAUGACGGUACUCUGCGAAUAAGCAUCGGCUAACUCCGUGCCAGCAGCCGCGGUAAUACGGAGGAUGCGAGCGUUAUCCGGAAUCAUUGGGUUUAAAGGGUCCGUAGGCGGGCUAAUAAGUCAGAGGUGAAAGCGCUCAGCUCAACUGAGCAACUGCCUUUGAAACUGUUAGUCUUGAAUGGUUGUGAAGUAGUUGGAAUGUGUAGUGUAGCGGUGAAAUGCUUAGAUAUUACACAGAACACCGAUAGCGAAGGCAUAUUACUAACAAUUAAUUGACGCUGAUGGACGAAAGCGUGGGGAGCGAACAGGAUUAGAUACCCUGGUAGUCCACGCUGUAAACGAUGGAUACUAGCUGUUUGGAUGAAAGUUUGAGUGGGCUAAGCGAAAGUGAUAAGUAUCCCACCUGGGGAGUACGCACGCAAGUGUGAAACUCAAAGGAAUUGACGGGGGCCCGCACAAGCGGUGGAGCAUGUGGUUUAAUUCGACGCAACGCGAGGAACCUUACCAGAAUCUUGACAUCCUGCGAAUGCCCGUGAGAGCGGGCAGUGCCUUCGGGAACGCAGAGACAGGUGGUGCAUGGCUGUCGACAGCUCGUGUCGUGAGAUGUUGGGUUAAGUCCCGCAACGAGCGCAAACCCCUAUCGUUAGUUGCCAUCAUUAAGUUGGGGACUCUAGCGAGACUGCCUGCGAAGAGCAGGAGGAAGGUGGGGAUGACGUCAAGUCAUCAUGCCCCUUAUGAUCUGGGCUACACACGUGCUACGAAUGGCCGGUACAGAGAGCGAGCCAGGCGGCGAACGCCGAGCGAAAUCUUUAAAGCCGGUCCGAAGUUUCGGAUUGAAAGCCUGCGAACUCGGCUUUCGUGAAGCUGGAAAUCGCUAGUAAUCGCAGAUUCAGCAAAUGCUGCGGUGAAAUACGUUUCUCGGGUUCUUGCACACACCGCCCGUCAAG